rnacentral:rRNA from 1 species
GAUGAACGCUGGCGGUCUGCUUAACACAUGCAAGUCGAACGGACCCUUCGGGGUUAGUGGCGGACGGGUGAGUAACGUCGUGAGAAUCUGCCUUUCAGGUCUGGCACAACAGAAGGAAACUUCUGCUAAUCCGGGAAUGAGCCUUUUAGAUAAAAGAUAAAUUGCCUGGAGAUGAGCUCGCGUCUGAUUAGCUAGUUGGUGUAGGUAAAAGCAUACCAAGGCAACGAUCAGUAGACUAGGUCUGAGA